rnacentral:rRNA from 1 species
GACGAACGCUGGCGGCGCGCUUAAAGCAUGCAAGUCGAACGAGGUCCAUCCUCACUUCGGUGAGGGGAAGACCUAGUGGCGAACGGGUGCGUAACACGUGAGGAACCUGCCCCGAAGACCGGGAUAACAGCGGGAAACUGCUGCUAAUACCGGAUACCUCCAUCGGAUCGCAUGGUCUGAUGAAGAAAUGGAUUCCGCUUCGGGAGGGUCUCGGCGGCCUAUCAGCUUGUUGGUGGGGUAAUGGCCUACCAAGGCUUCGACGGGUAGCUGGUCUGAGAGGACGAUCAGCCACACUGGGACUGAGACACGGCCCAGACUCCUACGGGAGGCAGCAGCUGGGAAUAUUGCGCAAUGGGCGAAAGCCUGACGCAGCGACGCCGCGUGGGGGAUGAAUGCCCUCGGGUUGUAAACCCCUUUCAGCAGGGACGAAUCUGACGGUACCUGCAGAAGAAGCCCCGGCCAACUACGUGCCAGCAGCCGCGGUAAGACGUAGGGGGCG